GAAAUGCGAUACGUAAUGUGAAUUGCAGACCGUGAAUCAUCUAAUCUUUGAACGCAUAUUGCGCUCCCUGGUAUUCCGGAGAGCAUGCCUGUUUGAGAAUCGACAAACAACAUCAACCCUUUGGGAAGUACAAUUGUAUCAACAUUGGGAUGGACUUGGGCGGUUAUCGUCACUGAUAACGUCUGUAAAAUAGCGUCGACCUUGGCUUCAUUGUUACUUGGAACGUAUUUACUUGGUGUUUCACAUCAUUAACUUGCGGCUAACCAAUUAACAGCUAAUGACUUCAAGGGCGACUAAACUCGUAUGAGACCCACACUUUACCGUGUUAAACUUGGUCUCAAAUCAGGCAAGAGUACCCGCUGAACUUAA
rnacentral:misc_RNA from 1 species